GGAGAUCUCUUCCACCACCGGAUCCAACAAAGAAGUCUUGAGGAGGAAUUUCUUCAGUCUCCAGAUUUGAUCAAGCAGGGAGAUGUCCUCCAUAGAUGGAUCUAAGAAGCAGUGAUCGUUGAUGAGUGGGUUCAGCUGGUGCCUAUUAAUCUUCAAACUGUCGGCACCUUUGUCUUCCACCAUGGGUGUGUGUUGGUCAAAUUCAU
rnacentral:lncRNA from 1 species